CCUACGGGAGGCAGCAGUGAGGAAUAUUGGUCAAUGGACGAGAGUCUGAACCAGCCAAGUAGCGUGAAGGAUGACUGCCCUAUGGGUUGUAAACUUCUUUUAUAUGGGAAUAAAAUGUUCCACGUGUGGGAUUUUGUAUGUACCAUAUGAAUAAGGAUCGGCUAACUCCGUGCCAGCAGCUGCGGUAAUACGGAGGAUCCGGGCGUUAUCCGGAUUUAUUGGGUUUAAAGGGAGCGUAGGUGGAUUGUUAAGUCAGUUGUGAAAGUUUGCGGCUCAACCGUAAAAUUGCAGUUGAAACUGGCAGUCUUGAGUACAGUAGAGGUGGGCGGAAUUCGUGGUGUAGCGGUGAAAUGCUUAGAUAUCACGAAGAACUCCGAUUGCGAAGGCAGUUCACUGGACUGCAACUGACACUGAGGCUCGAAAGUGUGGGUAUCAAACAGGAUUAGAUACCCGAGGUAGUC
rnacentral:rRNA from 1 species